CUUGCUCCCGGAUGUUAGCGGCGGACGGGUGAGUAACACGUGGGUAACCUGCCUGUAAGACUGGGAUAACUCCGGGAAACCGGAGCUAAUACCGGAUAGUUCCUUGAACCGCAUGGUUCAAGGAUGAAAGACGGUUUCGGCUGUCACUUACAGAUGGACCCGCGGCGCAUUAGCUAGUUGGUGAGGUAACGGCUCACCAAGGCGACGAUGCGUAGCCGACCUGAGAGGGUGAUCGGCCACACUGGGACUGAGACACGGCCCAGACUCCUACGGGAGGCAGCAGUAGGGAAUCUUCCGCAAUGGACGAAAGUCUGACGGAGCAACGCCGCGUGAGUGAUGAAGGUUUUCGGAUCGUAAAGCUCUGUUGUUAGGGAAGAACAAGUGCAAGAGUAACUGCUUGCACCUUGACGGUACCUAACCAGAAAGCCACGGCUAACUACGUGCCAGCAGCCGCGGUAAUACGUAGGUGGCAAGCGUUGUCCGGAAUUAUUGGGCGUAAAGGGCUCGCAGGCGGUUUCUUAAGUCUGAUGUGAAAGCCCCCGGCUCAACCGGGGAGGGUCAUUGGAAACUGGGAAACUUGAGUGCAGAAGAGGAGAGUGGAAUUCCACGUGUAGCGGUGAAAUGCGUAGAGAUGUGGAGGAACACCAGUGGCGAAGGCGACUCUCUGGUCUGUAACUGACGCUGAGGAGCGAAAGCGUGGGGAGCGAAC
rnacentral:rRNA from 1 species